rnacentral:sRNA from 1 species
AAUUUGCUGAGGACAGAUGAAAUGAAUAUGUGCGUCUAUUCCUCCAGCUGUGACGAUGGAACCCUCUCCGGCAAUAAUUUCCGUUGCAGCCCCAAUAAUAAUAUCGACACCAGGUUGCACAUCCGGAUUACCCGCCUUACCAAUGCCAGCAAUACGACCAUCCUUAAUUGCAAUAUCAGCUUUAAUAAUUCCGCUGUGAUCCACAAUUAAAGCAUUUGUAAUGACGGUAUCAGGCACUGCAUGAGCUGGCCUUUGACUUUGACCCAUACCAUCCCG